GGGAGAACCAUGUCCCAUAGGAGCCGCGAGCUGCCCAAAGUCCUUCGCGUUGGUCACUGCUAGGGACAAAGAUGGGGAGUUCCCACAGACCCUGGGAGCCCCUCUGGAAACAGGGGAAGUUUUCCACUUAGCACAUGAGAGAACUGCUCUCACAAGGGCGAUUCCAUGUUCUGCACCUGAAGGCUAGAGGGAAGGGGUGAGAGGGAAUGCUCACCCUUGGACCUGAGCCCUUGAUCGGCCCUAGAUGUAAAGACAUCAUAGACGCUCACCUUAGGAGAUUUAUGACGUCUAACGGAGCCAUGGUGACCAAGGACGUUCCUGGUAUGUCUACUGUAGCCUUAGAUGCUAGUACAUAUAACUCUCAGGUAAUUAUAGACGAUGCAAUCCAGCCUAGACUUUGGGAUUUUUCUGGUCAGUUUCUGCAUGCCCAGCCAAUCAAUAUGCAUUAAUUAUUACACGCUAAUUGUUAGCAUGAUUCAGUCUCAAUGAUUCAUCAGCAUUACACACAGGGAAGUCUGUUGUGACUGGAAUUGGGAAGAGUUAAAGGAAUGAAGAAAUGUGUUUUGCCUAAAGGUGCAAAACAUUUCAGUGAUAAGUGAUGGGAGCACCAUGGUGGGUGGAGAGCAAACGCAAACUCAUUGGGAAUUUCCAGAAAUGUGUGGACGGCACCUUCCUAGCAUUGUCUGACGGUAAAUUUAGCACUUGGCGUAUGCUGCUUUGAAUUGUAAUUAUUUUUCAAUUAUAGAUACCUUAUCCUUCCAACUUCAUUAAACACUCCAGAAGGGUAGGGGCCACACUGCUUACGUCUGGGUCUCCAGUACCCAACACCCAGCCUCGGAGAGGCAGCCCCUCAGUAGUAGUGAUGGGAGAUGGCUGCCUCCUUGGUGAUUGUGGUGAUGCCACUGGCAAAAUCUGCCAUGCUGACCAAAUAAAGGUAAAACUUUUAGAGGUGCUGUCAAGCUCCUUUGGCCUGCUAAUCACUGAAAAACAGGCUCUCUCACUCAUAUGAGAUCUCCCCUCCUUCCUGUUCUCAGCUAGAAAUACCAUGAGAACAGACUGUCUCACAGUGUUUUCAGAUUUCCACUUCUAGUCCCUGCCAAAAGCAGGAAGUGCAGAAGUGGGCGAUAAUUCUUUUUUUCUUUUUAGAACACUUUAUUAAAGAGUUUUGGUUGUUACUUGUUUUUCCCCCGAACCUCAUUAGAAUUAAUUUGAGCAAUACUUUGAAUUCACAUAAUGAUUUUCUUACAGGACACACAAAACCCAUUAUUUAUCAAUGCCAUUUCCCAACAAGGUAAGGUAGAAGGAGCUACAGAGGGUAAUGAACAUUAAAGAUGGAAGACACCUUGGGGAUUUUCUACUCCGGCAUUUUUUUUAACUAGUGAGAAAAUUGAGACCCAGAGUCAUCGUGUGUGGUAUUUCCUGCUCUAUGUCAGCACGUGCCUCCCUGACAUAGUACAGCUGUCAUUCUCUUGUCCUACACUGCCACCACCCCUACCCUAUCACCACUUCCCCCCACCACUCCUGUAUCUAUUCUAUCCCCUCUGCUCUCCUGCUCCUUUCCCCUAAGUCAACUCUUUCAUUUUGGGAGAAUCAAUUGUAGAUAACCAUCAUCAAAAGGACCAAGAAUCACCGUGUCUGACUAUGCUGUUGGAAAUGAAGGAAGGAGGAAAAGGAAAACAAGAAGGCAAGAAGAAAACAGAGGAGUAAACAUAACAUCAAAGUGGGGAAAGAGACAGCAAAGGUUUAUCAGAGACCAAGGAAAUGGCUGCUACCUCCUUUCAACAUAGCACAGCAACUCAACAUCCCUGUUGGAUAAACUGCUCUAUACAUGGUGCCAUUUUGGUUCUACUUCCUGAGGGUAAACCCCACCUGUUCUAAUACUAUCCCCAUAUCUUAGAUGGAUGUCCAAGGAGGCAAGUGAGUCCUCAAAUGAGAGCCAGAGGCAAAGCAGAAGUAGGCCUUACAGAUUCUAUGGGCUAAAUUGUGUCUCUCCCAACUGCCUAUGUUGAGAGUAUAAUUCCCAAUAUGACUAUUUGGAAAUAGUCCUUCCUAAAGGAGGGAAAUCAAUGUUAAAUGAGGUCAUAGGGGUGGGGUCCUCAUCUAACAGGACUGGUGGUCUUAUAAAAAGAGGAGGAAAGAGUGAUCUCUCUCUGCACACAAAGAAGAAAGGUCAUGUGAGAACACAGCGAGAAGGGCAUCUACAAGCCAGGAAGAGAGCCCUCACCCGAAACUGAACGAGUCAACACCUUGAUCUUGGACUGCCCAGACUCAAGAACUGUGAGAAAUAAAUAUCUGUUCUUCAAGCCA